CUGGAUGUGUUCGUUAGUCAUA
rnacentral:miRNA from 14 species